CGCUUGCUUGCUUGCUGGUUUUGACUACAAUCUAAAUCAGAGUCACUGGUGAAAUAGAAAAUCUGGAAGCAAUUAAUACAUUUGUAAGAUGUUCACAUAUAAAGGGACUGGACAUGUUUAUAGAGAAUUGGUUAAUAGAGGUGUAGGACUAAAUAUGAAAUUAUAGUACAUAGGUAGUGCUUGGUCAAAAUAAGUCAAUCCGUUUAUGCAUCUUUAAAG